rnacentral:rRNA from 1 species
AACGAACGCUGGCGGCAUGCCUAACACAUGCCAGUCGAACGAAGCCUUCGGGCUUAGUGGCGCACGGGUGCGUAACGCGUGGGAAUCUGCCCCUUGCUUCGGAAUAACAGUUAGAAAUGACUGCUAAUACCGGAUGAAGUCUUCGGACCAAAGAUUUAUCGGCAAGAGAUGAGCCCGCGUAGGAUUAGGUAGUUGGUGGGGUAAAGGCCUACCAAGCCGACGAUCCUUAGCUGGUCUGAGAGGAUGAUCAGCCACACUGGGACUGAGACACGGCCCAGACUCCUACGGGAGGCAGCAGUGGGGAAUAUUGGACAAUGGACGCAAGUCUGAUCCAGCAAUGCCGCGUGAGUGAUGAAGGCCUUAGGGUUGUAAAGCUCUUUUACCAGGGAUGAUAAUGACAGUACCUGGAGAAUAAGCUCCGGCUAACUCCGUG